AAUAGCGUUAUAAUAAAAAAUAGCGUAAACUUGCGGAAUUUAAAAAUUGCAGGAAUUAAAUAAGUGCGAUAAGUAAAUAAAUAGGAACGAACGCACGGAUGUAUCCUGGUUCACCACAACCCGUGGCUAGUCCAGUCCCCAAAAGACUCUCUCGAGAUUUCCACUAUCUUCGUCAAGCUUACGGGUGCUUAACAAAUCGUUGCAGUUGCUCAAGGAUACCACACCUUAAGACUUCACUUGCUUGAGG
rnacentral:lncRNA from 1 species